rnacentral:tRNA from 1 species
UGGAUAGUAGUUCAGUGGUAGAACACGGCAUUAACGGUUCGAGUCCGUAGCUAACAACAGCAAUGGUACUAUGUAAGUCCGAGGCGCAGGUUCGAUUCUUGCCUAUCCAU